GCUGGGUGUGGUGGUGCAUGCCUGUAGUCCCAGCUACUUGGGAGGCUGAGGUGGGAGGAUCGCUUGAGCCUGGGAGGUCGAGGCUGCAGUGAGCCGUGGUCAUGCCACUGCACUCCAGCCUGUGUGACAGAGUGAGACCCUGUCUCAA
rnacentral:sRNA from 1 species